rnacentral:lncRNA from 1 species
GUUAUUAGCGGUGCAACUUCCCAUACUCAGAUGCCGGGCCAGAUCACAAUGCGCUCCUUUUCUUCCGACAUGUUGUGCGUUCAUGCACUAAAUACCACAACAUACUUGGAAAGUUUGAUGGCACUGACUGCUUAAUAAUUGUUAUUAAAGAAGUUUGAAAAGGAUUACUUCUUUGUUGCCUGAUUCUCUGACCGGAAUCAAUGUCCAUAUUUGUCCGCCAGUAGAACUGUAAAUUUACUCCGUUGACAGAGGUAUAGUACCCCGUCACAAGUUGGUCCUUCGAGCCGGAGCUGGCAAAGCAAACAAUAUGGACAGUGCAACUGUAGUUGUAUCAGACCCCGCAGCCAGACCGAAGAGAAAGGGUAAACUGCCAUCACAUUUGGGAGAUUAUGAAGUUGGCUAUACACUUCCUGAGGGCCCUCCUUCAAUCACUGCUUCACGCUGUCACAGCCAACAUAAAAGCCAGUCAAGGAAAACGUCACAUAGUAAAGCCAGCCUUCAUUCUAAAUCCAGUAGUUUUUCCACUACUUCUCGUGCACAAGCUACUUUAGCACUCACAAGCAGUCAGGCAGCCAUCGUGGAGGAGAGAAUUAAGCAGCGUCAGUAUGAUAACCUUCUUG